CUAGAAGCUCUUCCAAAGGUAGGAUGUUCAGAUCUUUGGCUUCUUGGAUUGUGGUCACUUUGGCCUCUCAAGUCCUUGGUAAAGACCUAAGAAUCUUCCUCACGAGGUCACUGUUAGAAUAAGACUUACCAAGACUUUUUAAACCAUUAAUAAUAUCAGUAAAAUGAGUAAAUAUUUCAGUAAUUGACUCAUUAUGCUCUAUUUUAAAAAGUUCAUAUUUAUGCACAAGCAUGUUGAUUUUUGAUUCCUUCACUUGGUUAGUUCCUUUAUGAGUUACUUC
rnacentral:lncRNA from 1 species